rnacentral:misc_RNA from 1 species
AAGUCGUAACAAGGUAACCGUAGGUGAACCUGCGGUUGGAUCAUUAAUGAAUGAUUAAAGAGUUUAUUCUCUUUAAGCUUUAUAAGUUGGGUAUUAAGUCUUUUAUAGACUUUUUACUCAAUGAACCUUGUGUGAACAUGUUGACUGUCUUUGGUGAGAGUUUUUAUGAUAUUCAUUUAUCAUGGCUCACCAAAAUAUAUGAUUAAACAUUUGUUUUUAUACUAAAGUCUUGAAUUCAAUAUAUCUAAAUUGAAAACAACUUUUGACAACGGAUCUCUUGGCUCUC